rnacentral:lncRNA from 1 species
AUUUGUACCCACUGACUCAGCAGUAGCAGAAGGAACUGUUUCAGGUCAGGACAGAGUCAAUAGUGUCUUCAUCUCUCCUCUUCCUGCUCCCCAGCUAAGCUUCUUCCCCUGUUCUCCUUCCCGCCACCAGAACUGGUGUGGAUGAGGACCAAGAUGGAGGGUCGCAGCAUGUCACUGAUGUGAACUCACCCAAGGCUGUCAGCUUCUGGUAUCUGGCUCUGCCCUGCUUGC